rnacentral:rRNA from 1 species
GGUAGAGAUUCUUCGGAAUCUUGAGAGCGGCGCACGGGUGCGGAACACGUGUGCAACCUGCCUUUAUCUGGGGGAUAGCCUUUCGAAAGGGAGAUUAAUACCCCAUAAUAUACUGAGUGGCAUCACUUAUUAUUGAAAACUCCGGUGGAUAGAGAUGGGCACGCGCAAGAUUAGAUAGUUGGUGAGGUAACGGCUCACCAAGUCAAUGAUCUUUAGGGGGCCUGAGAGGGUGAUCCCCCACACUGGUACUGAGACACGGACCAGACUCCUACGGGAGGCAGCAGUGAGGAAUAUUGGACAAUGGGUGAGAGCCUGAUCCAGCCAUCCCGCGUGAAGGACGACGGCCCUAUGGGUUGUAAACUUCUUUUGUACAGGGAUAAACCUAUUUACGUGUAAAUAGCUGAAGGUACUGUACGAAUAAGCACCGGCUAACUCCGUGCCAGCAGCCGCGGUAAUACGGAGGGUGCAAGCGUUAUCCGGAUUUAUUGGGUUUAAAGGGUCCGUAGGCGGAUCCGUAAGUCAGUGGUGAAAUCUCAUAGCUUAACUAUGAAACUGCCAUUGAUACUGCGGGUCUUGAGUAAGGUAGAAGUAGCUGGAAUAAGUAGUGUAGCGGUGAAAUGCAUAGAUAUUACUUAGAACACCAAUUGCGAAGGCAGGUUACUAUGUCUUAACUGACGCUGAUGGACGAAAGCGUGGGGAGCGAACAGGAUUAGAUACCCUGGUAGUCCACGCCGUAAACGAUGCUAACUCGUUUUUGGUUUUUCGGAAUCAGAGACUAAGCGAAAGUGAUAAGUUAGCCACCUGGGGAGUACGAACGCAAGUUUGAAACUCAAAGGAAUUGACGGGGGCCCGCACAAGCGGUGGAUUAUGUGGUUUAAUUCGAUGAUACGCGAGGAACCUUACCAAGACUUAAAUGGGAAUUGACAGAUUUAGAAAUAGAUCCUCCUUCGGGCAAUUUUCAAGGUGCUGCAUGGUUGUCGUCAGCUCGUGCCGUGAGGUGUUAGGUUAAGUCCUGCAACGAGCGCAACCCCUGUCACUAGUUGCCAUCAUUCAGUUGGGGACUCUAGUGAGACUGCCUACGCAAGUAGAGAGGAAGGUGGGGAUGACGUCAAAUCAUCACGGCCCUUACGUCUUGGGCCACACACGUAAUACUAUGGCCGGUACNGAGGGCAGCUACACAGCGAUGUGAUGCAACUCUC